UCCAUCCCGAAGAACAAAUGGGGUCCUUCCUUCAGGACGUGCAGGGCAGCCGCCGGAGCCCGGGAAGCUGCGGCCGCGCGAACUCGGGCGCCGCCGGCGUGGCGUCGGGAGCGGCGAUCAGCACCGGCCCCGGGGCGGCCGGGCGGGUGCAACCGUCUCGGGAGGACGCUUCGGUCUUCGCGGCCCCGCAGGGUGGAUGGAGGGGAGCCCCGACGCCAAGCAUCGCCCCGCUUCCAGGUGAUCCGGGAAGGAAACGCUGGAGCCGAGAGGUGGGGCCGUAGGGGGCCGCCUGGCUCCUCCAGGUGAAGAAACUGAGGCCCAGAAAGGUGCUAGCAGCAAUAGUG